ACGUUCAAAUUCAAUUUUAUUCAUCCGGUUCCUCACCCUGCGCUGCUGCGUGGGAAGCUUGGACCGAAAUCUCCAAGUGGCCAGGGCAGGGCCACUGCUGGGUCUCUGCAGUGAAGAUUUCCACUGCCACAGGCACAACCAGCGCUGCGGAGGCUUCCCACCUAACGCCAGACCCCGUCCCCAUGGGAUGUGCGUCCCAAAGGAUGCCACACACCCUACAGCCUCUCAUUUUGGCUGCUGCUCAGGGUUUGUACCUGAAAUGAAACCCAAACCGUCAGGGACUUGAGGCACACUGUGUCAGGACAGGGGUUGCUUUCUCCCAAACAACGUUUUGGUUUUGUGAAGAUCUUGGAGGGAGGGAAUAUUUCUGGCUUAGGCUGUGCUUUUGAGCAGGAAAGACGGAAAACGCAAGCCACGCACAAACAGAAACAAUGGAGGGGAAAGGUUGGAAGCAGCAUCCCAAAAUAACUCGGUGGUUCAGCCAGAAACACAGCGAGCCUGCCUGUGCUAAGAAGUGUUGCUUCAAGAGGCACAAAGCAGCCGAAUGGGAGGAGCGUGGUAAGGAUGAUUUCCCUGGUCUCCCACAUGAGCGCCCAGAACAUUACCUGCUGCAGUGGACAGUAACAGCUCAGCCAGGCAACAUUAUCCCUUCCAGAGGACUGGAUCCAAACGGGAGCGUGGCUGUGCUGAAAAGACAAACUGCCUCCUUCAGCAUUACUGCUUGCAGAAAAAUUGGACCUGACGCAUCCGUGGGAAGAUUAGACUGA
rnacentral:lncRNA from 1 species